UCGAGAAAGCAUCUCAGUUUCCGAGAGGGGCGAUUGUCACUGAAAAUGUCAAGCAAAGCUCGUGCAGUUUACGACUCAGUUAUCAAUCGAAGAAGGCACCUUCUUCAGGCCGGAGAUGAAGAAGUUGUGGUGAAGGACAUUGUGGUUGUGAGCCAAGAUGGAACCGGAAACUUCACUACCAUCAAUGAUGCUAUCAAUGCUGCCCCCAAUAACACUGUUGCAAGUGAUGGAUACUUCUUGGUAUAUAUCACUGCCGGCGUUUAUGAGGAGUAUGUAUCAAUUAUAUCGAAAAAGAAGUACUUGUUGCUGAUCGGAGACGGUAUUAAUCAGACAAUCAUCACCGGAAGCAACAGUGUCGGAGGCGGUUCAACCACCUUCAACUCUGCCACUUUAGGUGAGUUUCAUUUACUAUACUAAUGUAAUUUCGAUAUUGUAACUGUGACACAGAUUUGUACGUUUACAAAAGGAUGACUACUAAUUAACAUGAACUGUACAUCAUAUUGCAGCUGUGGUAGCAACAGGGUUUAUUGCAGUGAACAUAACUGUUCGAAACACUGCUGGACCAAGCAUGGGGCAAGCAGUUGCAGUUCGAAACGGCGCCGACUUGUCAGUUUUCUACAGCUGCAGCUUUGAGGGAUACCAAGACACCUUAUACACACAUUCUAUGAGACAAUUCUACAGAGAAUGUGACAUCUACGGAACGGUUGAUUUCAUAUUCGGAAAUGCUGCAGUUGUUUUCCAAAACUGCAACAUAUACCCUCGCCAGCCCCGACAAGGCCAGACGAAUCCUAUCACAGCGCAGGGCCGAACAGACCCGAAUCAGAACACAGGGACUUCAAUCCAGAAUUGCACCAUUACAGCCGCAGAUGAUUUGGCUUCGAGUAACUUCACUGUCAAGACAUAUCUAGGGAGGCCAUGGAAGGAGUACUCGAGGACGGUUUACUUGCAGAAUUUCAUGGAUAGUUUGAUUGAUCCUGCUGGCUGGCUAGCAUGGAGUGGAGAUUUUGCACUGAGCACAUUGUAUUAUGGUGAGUAUGAUAAUAAAGGACCCGGAGCAGACACUAGUAACAGAGUUACAUGGCCUGGUUACCAUAUAAUCGGUGCAACUGAUGCUUCAAAUUUUACAGUGUCAAACUUCGUGUUGGGGGAUAGUUGGUUGCCUCAAACAGGAGUGCCUUACACCGGUGGCUUAAUGUGAGAAAUUUGGUUCAAGUUUUCUUGGAGUUCUUCGAUUCUUGUGAAGACUGAUUGUAUGUAAAAACAUACUUUCCUAGCUAGAUAGCUUUCUUUUGUACAAUCCGGAGACAUUUUUCUCUUCAAAGUGAAUAAGAUUGAUGUUUGAUAUCACAAAUGGGAUUAACGUAAAACAUUGCAUAUGUUGCCUAGUGGAAAUUCCAUCAAAGAUCAUUUGUUGGUAUAUAACCGUUUUUGUUUUCUUGUAGAACUCCAAGACCACACCUUUCCUCUCUUUUCAUUUUUGCUAAACGAAUACUGAGUCAGACGCAGCAAACUUAGGAAUUUACAAUCUUAUUAGUUUUUAGAUAAAAAUGCACUAACGCUAAGCCAAAGUCGAAGAGCAAAGCAAUACAUAAAACAACAGAGGAGAGGCGACAAAGUAGAAGACACCGGCCAAAGAAGGAACCUGAGUUCACCAGAAGUAACCUAUUUGUAACCAAUCGGCCGACUUGUGCCAUUCUCUGAAAAUAUGACUACCAAAAUCUACAAAGACUAGCUUGGCCGCCUAAGACAGUUGUGCCAAGUAACAUGAAACUUCUAUACAUGGAACAAUUAAAUUAAGAGAAUGAACCACCAUAUAUAUUGUAAGUGACUCACAAUUACGAAUCCCCGCCCUCUUCAUGGCACUUGACGAUGCAACCAAAAAUUUUACUUUGCCAAAGGCCUAUCCCAGCAGUUGGACCCCAUGCCAUGCAAAAAAUUAAAUUAUUGGGAAACUAAAAUCCAAUUGGAAAAAAAAAAAAAAUGGGAAUCCCAUAACAAAAUUAAAGAGGUUGAUGUUCAAUCAAAAAAAAAAAAUUAAAGAGGUUGAUGAGUGUUAAUAUUAGGGUCUAUUAUUAAUUUACAUUAAACUUUUUAAAUCCUAAACUCUAAACCCUCAAUUUCUAAAUUUAUUCAUCCUGACCUCUUAUACAGUUACUAGAUCUCUUAAUAUUCUGACUUUGGUGCAUUAUAGAUAUAUUUUAGUACGUACCUGGCUCCAAAUUUCCUCACUUCCUAUUUAUAAUUUAGUUCCACCACAAUUUAUUGGCAAUUAUGCAUCACUACUUACAUAAACAAAAUGUUAAAUACAAAAUUGAGGUUCCAAACGAUGUAUAAAUUAAGAUUUCGCACUUUUGGUAACUUUAGACUUCGAUCACUAGCAAUUUGACAAGCUUCUUGAUACUGGUACUACGUUGCUUAACACCUGAGUUAAAAAUUAGAAAAAGAAAUGACAAGAGCAAGAACAAUUGUUCGUUAAAUAUUGUGUGCAAUUGGGCUAUAGAUCUCUAUUUCUUUGUGCUUGGUUGUCUGUUUUGGGUUUUCUCUGUAACCCGUGGGAGGUUUUGUGCCUCUGCGUAAUAUUUGCAGCUUGAAUAAAGUUGGUUACUACUGGUUAAAAUAUAUAUACAUAUAUAUAUAUAUGAUUUUUCUCAGCUACAAACGUCCGCACCAAUGGUUUUGGUGCGGAUUUUUAUUUUUGCACCACUUUUUGAUCGAAUUUCCUCAUCUCCACCGUCUAAUAUCUAGAUAAUAUUGUGUAGAUCAUCUCUGCAAAAUUUCAGCCAAUUUAGUGAUCGUUAAGGCUCUCAAAAUUGCGUCUUUCUGUUAUAAACAUGAACGGUUCAUGUUUGACAGAAUUCAGUCCGUCCAUUUGUUUUUCGAGUUUGAGAGUCUUAAUGAUUACCAAAUUGGCCGAAAUUUUGCAGAGAUGAUCUACACAAUAUUAUCAAAAUACUAGACGGUAGAGAUGAGGAAAUUCGAUNNNNNNNNNNNNNNNNNNNNUUUAUAUAUAUAUAUAUAUAUAGGAAGGAUAUGAAGCGGACGUCCGCACUUACGGCUUAAAGUGCGGACGUCCGCUUCAUAUUCUGUGUGUAUAUAUGUGUGUGUAUAUAUAUAUAUAUGUUGUGUGCAAUUGGCAUUUGGCUGUAAAAUCUGUGCAGUAUGAUAGACCAAUACUUUUAUUUGGACCAGUCAACGAUUACAUGAAUUUGGUCUCUACAUUAUUGUAUCAAUGCUCAAUGCACCAGAAGAGUUCCAUAUAUAUUCCAAACACCCAUUUCGAUCAUUUAGGUUUCAAUUUUUUUGCAUUUGAUUCCACGAAUGCAAACUGACUUGCUCUGUAUGUGAAUAUAUGUUUAUGCAUUCUUUAUUUUCACUUCAUUAUUCUUAACUGAUUUUGCGAGGUCUAUUUAGGUCUGUGUCUUCUGGUGCCAAAACAUCUUGUAGCUAGCUAGUUCAUGUUUUAAACGUUGACUACAGGCAUUCCUAACCCUUAGCUUGUUCGAUCUCUCAACUUAUGCAGAGAGAAUUGAAUCCACCGGCCAUAUCUAACCCACAAUCCACAUCUCUCUCUUCUUUCCCAAUCAUUUAGGCCACUUCUAAGUCCUAACCUCAGAGAAACUUCGACGUGCAACUUCACCAACAAUGAAAAUGUUUGAAUAAUAUGUCUCUCUAGGUUUUGGACAUCUGAUAUAUAUGUCGCUAAUAUUCCAUUACCUAGACACGCUAUUUUUUUUUUUUGGUCAAUACCUAGACACGCUUAACAGACCUACAAUCGUUGAUAAGUUCCAUUUGAUAUAGAUAUAUAGUUCAUAUCCAGAGCGAAGCUUCGCUUUGAAAUUAAAGUGUGAAGUUCCUUAUUUGACUCACUUUUUCGUCAUAUUUCCACAUCUCCAUUGUUCAGUUUGUAGAACCUAAUACAUAGAUCACUCAUGUCAAGUUUCAUCCAAAUUGGUAAUCGUUAAGGUACCGAAUUAGAUUAAAUCAACGAACGGACCAUAAAUCUGUCUAUUUAUAACUGUUUGUGUAAAUAACAAUUAUGAAAACUCAAACGAUCAUCAAAUUCAAUGAAACUUGGCAGAAGUGAUCUAUGCAGUAGGUUUUACAAACUGAACGGUGGAGAUGUGGAAAUAUGACGAAAAAGUGAGUCAAAUAAGGAACUUCACAUUUUAAUUUCAGAGCGAAGGUUCGCUCUGGAUAGGAACUAUAUAUAUAUAUAUAUAUGACACUUCAAUGACAAGAAUAUAUGAAGGGCUAAAGAAUAUUUGUUAUCUCUACAAAGAAUAAUCUCAUAGGUAGACAAGCUCCCAACAUCUUAUAUUAGGUAAAUAUAGUUUGAGCAAGAAUAGAGGAUUGCAUUUUCAACAUACAUUAGUUCCAUCAUCACACACACACAAAAUGACUUGGUUUGUAUGGGGUGGGCAGACUUUUGACAUCUCUAAUCUAAGUUGUUGCAACGUAAAUAAUUGUCUUUUAUAGUUGAAGGCUUACGAUUAAGAUGGUAAUUUGAAUCAUGUACCUCAUCAAUAAAAUUCAGCAAUUUUUGUCUUGAUAUAAACCGUCGAGCUUGGUAUUCAAUUGCUCAAAGUGAAUAGAUAUAAUGACUUGAGGUGAUAGACAUAACACUUUCUACAAUUCUAUAAACCUUCGAUCACCUUUUCUACCACCAUUAGGCUCAGAUUAGAACAAAAAUGUACUAAACUCGGACAAAAACAACUUCAAAGGUUACUCUCACAAGUAAUAUAUAUAUGUCAUGUCGUCAACUAAUAUUGAUGCCUGAAAAUUAAUUUCAUGACUCAAGAAACGAAUAACCUCAAUCACAAAAUAGUUUAAGUCAUGCACGUUCGUUACUAAUACCCAAAUAAAAUGCAUCCCUCCAAACAUUCUCUCUAAAUUAAAUAUAAUCAAAGUUUCUAUAUCUUCAGCUUAAUUCUCUUAUAUAUAGACAUACACCCCAGUGAACAAAUUCACUUGUGCACGUACAUAACACAUCCCUUAGCUACAAGCGAUCGAUCCUCUCUCAGAUGGCUUCAAAGCUCUACUCUCUUGUAACCCUUUCAUCAAUAUUGUUUCUCACCAUCUUCUCUUUGCUUACCUCUCCAUCUCUAGCUGUAGAUGUUCUUCUAAACACUCCUCUUUCAUCAGAAACCAUAUGCAACUCCACACCACACCCUUCUUACUGUAAAUCUGUCCUCCCUCGCAAAAGCGCCAACGUCUAUGACUUCGGCCGCUUUUCAGUCCAGCAGUCACUUGUUCAAUCCAAAAUUCUUUUGGAUUUGCUCGAAAAAUAUCUCAGUGGCCGGCGUUCUAGUCUAACCUUACCCGCAAUCCAAGCCCUAGAGGAUUGUCACUUCCUUGCUUCGUUAAACAUUGAUUUCUUGUCACAAGCCAUUGGUACCGUCGGAGAGACUAGUAAUGUUCUUCCAAGCUCAGAUGCUGACGAUGUCCAAACCUUGCUCAGUGCCAUUUUAACCAACCAGCAAACUUGUGCUGAUGGCCUUAAUUCUUUGGCCACUGUCCACAACGAUCUCAUAGUCCCACUCUCUAAUGGUACAAAUUUGUACAGUGUCUCUUUAGCUUUGUUUACAAAGGGUUGGGUGCCAAAGGGUGGCAAAAAUAAUGUGACACCAGGUCAAUCCUACAGGCAUCUCAAUUUCAGGAAGGGGCGAUUGUCACUGAAAAUGUCGAGCAAAGUGCGUGCAGUUUACGAUUCAGUUAUAAAUCGAAGAAGGCACCUUCUUCAGGCCGGAGAUGAAGAAGUUGUGGUGAAGGACAUUGUGGUUGUGAGCCAAGAUGGAACCGGAAACUUCACUACCAUCAAUGAUGCUAUCAAUG
rnacentral:lncRNA from 1 species